AGGCCUAGGAGAAACUCGAAUCCAAAUUU
rnacentral:tRNA from 1 species